AGCAGCCGCGGUAAUUCCAGCUCCAAUAGCGUAUAUUAAAGUUGUUGCAGUUAAAAAGCUCGUAGUUGAAUUUCGGGGUCAGUAGGUUGGUUAUGCCACUGGUAUGUACUGGCCUCACUGAUUCCUCCUUCCUGAUGAGCCGUAAUGCCAUUAAUUUGGUGUUGCGAGGAAUCUGGACUGUUACUUUGAAAAAUUAGAGUGUUUAAAGCAGGCUAACGCUUGAAUACAUUAGCAUGGAAUAAUGAAAUAGGACGUUCGAUCUUAUUUUGUUGGUUUCUAAGAUUGACGUAAUGAUUAAUAGGGAUAGUUGGGGGCAUUAGUAUUCAAUUGUCAGAGGUGAAAUUCUUGGAUUUAUUGAAGACUAACUACUGCGAAAGCAUUUGCCAAGGAUGUUUUCAUUAAUCAAGAACGAAAGUUAGGGGAUCGAAGACGAUCAGAUACCGUCGUAGUCUUAACCAUAAACUAUGCCGGCUAGGGAUCGGAUGAUGUUAAUUUUUUAAUGUACCCA
rnacentral:rRNA from 1 species